rnacentral:rRNA from 1 species
AACGCGAAGAACCUUACCACCCCUUGACAUCCUCGGAACUGCCUGGAGACAGGCAGGUGCCUUCGGGAACCGAGUGACAGGUGCUGCAUGGCUGUCGUCAGCUCGUGUCGUGAGAUGUUGGGUUAAGUCCCGUAACGAGCGCAACCCUUGUCCUUAUUUGCCAGCGGGUCAGGCCGGGAACUCUAGGGAGACUGCCGGUGACAAACCGGAGGAAGGUGGGGAUGACGUCAAGUCAUCAUGGCCCUCACGGGGUGGGCUACAAACGUGCUACAAUGGGCGGCACAGAGGGCUGCGAACCAGCAAUGGCAAGCGAAUCCCAAAAAACCGCUCGUGGUCCGGAUAGGAGUCUGCAACUCGACUCCUUGAAGUCGGAAUCGCUAGUAAUCGCGAAUCAG